GACGAACGCUGGCGGCGUGCUUAACACAUGCAAGUCGAACGGAAAGGCCCUGCUUUUGUGGGGUGCUCGAGUGGCGAACGGGUGAGUAACACGUGAGUAACCUGCCCUUGACUUUGGGAUAACUUCAGGAAACUGGGGUUAAUACCGGAUAGGAGCUCUUGCUGCAUGGUGGGGGUUGGAAAGUUUCGGCGGUUGGGGAUGUACUCGCGGCUUAUCAGCUUGUUGGUGGGGUAGUGGCUUACCAAGGCUUUGACGGGUAGCCGGCCUGAGAGGGUUACCGGCCAGAUUGGGACUGAGAUGCGGCACAGACUCCUACGGGAGGCAGGAGAGAAGUAUAGAGCACAGUGGGCGGAAGCCUGAUGCGGCAACGCAGCGUGCGGGAUGACGGCCUUCGGGUUGUAAACCGCUUUCGCCUGUGACGAAGCGAGAGUGACGGUAAUGGGUGAAGAAGCACCGGCUAACUACGUG
rnacentral:rRNA from 1 species